rnacentral:rRNA from 1 species
UGAGGAAUAUUGGUCAAUGGACGCAAGUCUGAACCAGCCAAGUAGCGUGCAGGAUGACGGCCCUAUGGGUUGUAAACUGCUUUUAUAUGGGGAUAAAGUGGGGAACGUGUUACCUUUUGCAGGUACCAUAUGAAUAAGGACCGGCCAAUUCCGUGCCAGCAGCCGCGGUAAUACGGAAGGUUCGGGCGUUAUCCGGAUUUAUUGGGUUUAAAGGGAGCGUAGGCCGUUUGGUAAGCGUGUUGUGAAAUGUAGGAGCUCAACUUCUAGAUUGCAGCGCGAACUGUCAGACUUGAGUGCGAACAACGUAGGCGGAAUUCAUGGUGUAGCGGUGAAAUGCUUAGAUAUCAUGAGGAACUCCGAUUGCGAAGGCGGCUUACGGGAGCGCAACUGACGCUGAGGCUCGAAGGUGCGGGUAUCAAACAGG